rnacentral:siRNA from 1 species
GGAUGAAAAAUUGAGAAGUAGA